GAGACUUUGAUGUGCCAAAGACUGCAUUCAGAACGAGAUUAGCGAAACUAGCUCAGACUCGAAGAUUGUCGGGAAACAUCAUCACACUAUUGAUCAUCUCGUUGGUACUUUUGGAGCUUUGUAUAUAUGGUAUAUGGCAUGUAUAGGCUAGUGUCAUCUUGGUAUGUUUUGAGUUGUGAUUAUAGCCAUGAGAUUUGGCUUGUAAAUGUUGGAUUAUGGCCAUUUAAGUUGGCUUGAAUUAUAUGUUUGAUAAAUGAUAUAUGUGAUGUAUAUAAUGUCCUAAGUGCUAGCUUGUUUGGAAUGGUUGUAUGGAUGCUCUUUUGGAUAGUUAUGUGUUGUGGUAUUAUUGCUUGAAAUUUGGUAUAUUUUGAUAUGAUUUGAGAAUGAUGUAUUGAUAAGUUUGAGAAGCAUGAUUUGGUUGAUAAAAAG